AGAGUUUGAUCCUGGCUCAGAAUCAACGCUGGCGGCGUGCCUCAGACAUGCAAGUCGAACGAUUAAAGCUCUCUUCGGAGAGUGCAUAAAGUGGCGCACGGGUGAGUAACACGUAAGUAAUCUACCCUCGGGUGGGGAAUAACAUCGGGAAACCGAUGCUAAUACCGCGUAAUGCAGCGGCACCGCAAGGUGACAGUUGUUAAAGGAGUAAUUCGCCUGAGGAGGAGCUUGCGGCAGAUUAGCUAGUUGGUAAGGCAAUGGCUUACCAAGGCUACGAUCUGUAACCGGUCUAAGAGGACGGUCGGUCACACUGACACUGAAUAACGGGUCAGACUCCUACGGGAGGCAGCAGUCGGGAAUUUUGGGCAAUGGGCGAAAGCCUGACCCAGCAACGCCGCGUGAAGGAUGAAGUAUUUCGGUAUGUAAACUUCGUAAGAAUAGGAAGAAUAAAUGACGGUACUAUUUGUAAGGUCCGGCUAACUACGUGCCAGCAGCCGCGGUAAUACGUAGGGACCAAGCGUUGUUCGGAUUUACUGGGCGUAAAGGGCGCGUAGGCGGCAAUUCAAGUCAGCUGUGAAAUCUCCGGGCUUAACUCGGAACGGUCAGCUGAUACUGCUUUGCUAGAGUGCAGAAGGGGCAAUCGGAAUUCUUGGUGUAGCGGUGAAAUGCGUAGAUAUCAAGAGGAACACCUGAGGUGAAGACGGGUUGCUGGGCUGACACUGACGCUGAGGCGCGAAAGCUAGGGGAGCAAACGGGAUUAGAUACCCCGGUAGUCCUAGCCCUAAACGAUGAAUACUUGG
rnacentral:rRNA from 1 species